ACCUGUUUGUGGCGUUAAUAGCGAAGGAAUUAGAAAAACUUUUGGAAACGAUUGCGAAUUGGUUCAGUGGAAUUGCCUCGCAGGAGAAGAUUAUAAACACAUCCGUCAUGGAUUUUGUAGAGAUUAUGUAAGACCUGGUUUGAAGGACCCAUUAUGCACAAUUGUCUGUCCAAAUGGGAAACAGCCGCACUGUGGAUGUUCGAGGCCAUAGAGAACACUUUUGGAAAUAAUUGCAUUGUGGAACAAUAUUAUUGUCGAAACAUUUUUACAGAUUAUUUAAUUUCCAUUCUUUUAUCCGCAAUCUUUAAUAAACACUUAUUACCUUG